UCCAGCUUCAAUCGCUUCCAGUGGCAGAAGAAGAACCGGGCCUUUAAAACCAACUGGACCAGAACCAAACCAUAGCAGAAGCUGAGCUCAGACACCUGCAGGUCAAAGGUCAGACUCCUUUGACUUGCAGUCCUCCAUCAUUUCCAGACUUGGAGCUCCUAAAGUAUCGCUGACACAACAAAAUGAUUUGAAAAGACAAACUGCUGCUUUAAUUUUGCAACACUAAAGAUUUUAAUAAUAAAUAUUUCUCACAGAUUACAGAAAGUAGAGCAGCGGCGCCAUCUUGUGACAUAAUCAGGGUCAGUCAAAACAUAGCAGUCAAACGUGUAUCCGCCAUGUCUACCAGCAAACAGUCGCUCCGUAUUUUCAUCAGUUAAAAACCUUUUGACUUUUGUGUGCGAGUCCCUGUAAAAAUGAGACAAACGUAUACAUGACAACAUGAACACAGAGUGAAAAUCCCUAAGAAAACAACCCUGAGAUAUUUACGGUUAUCAGAAGGAGACAGACGUUCAGAUCCAAACCUUCACCGUUUCUUCUUCCCAGAAACGUUUGAGUCAUCGUCACUUCCUGGACUUUAUGGAUCAAUAAAUACUAAAUAUGGCUUCCGACUCCCUCCUCGUCACUCGAUGUGGAUCCUUCCUCCAAAACAGCAGAGAAAUCGCUCUGAUCAACUCCCUGCGCUUCUGUUAAUCGGUCGUUUCAGGUUUGACUUACCUGAUGAUGUCAUAAGAUGGCGCCGGCGUUUGACCCAAUUAUUACUGAGAAAAACCACAAUGCUCCGUGGAAUUUAUAUAAUUCUGUGAUAUUCUGUGAAUAUUUAUUAUUAAAAGCUUUUGUGUUUACAGAACAAA